CAUUACAGAGUUAUCCAACUCCCAAACCCAUGUGAACUUAUCUCUUUGUUGCCUCGGCGCAAGCUACCCGGGACCUCGCGCCCCGGGGGGCCCGCCGGCGGACAAACCAAACUCUGUUAUCUUCGUUGAUUAUCUGAGUGUCUUAUUUAAUAAGUCAAAACUUUCAACAACGGAUCUCUUGGUUCUGGCAUCGAUGAAGAACGCAGCGAAAUGCGAUAAGUAAUGUGAAUUGCAGAAUUCAGUGAAUCAUCGAAUCUUUGAACGCACAUUGCGCCCAUUAGUAUUCUAGUGGGCAUGCCUGUUCGAGCGUCAUUUCAACCCCUAAGCACAGCUUAUUGUUGGGACUCUACGGCUUCGUAGUUCCCCAAAGACAUUGGCGGAGUGGCAGCAGUCCUCUGAGCGUAGUAAUUCUUUAUCUCGCUUUUGUUAGGCGCUGCCCCCCCCGGCCGUAAAACCCCCAAUUUUUUCUGGUUGACCUCGGAUCAGGUAGGAAUACCCGCUGAACUUAAGCAUAUCAAUAAGCGGAGGAAAAGAAACCAACAGGGAUUCCCCUAGUAACGGCGAGUGAAGCGGGAACAGCUCAAUUUGAAAUCUGGCCCUCGGGUCCGAGUUGUAAUUUGUAGAGGAUGCUUUUUGGUGCGGUGCCUUCCGAGUUCCCUGGAACGGGACGCCUUAGAGGGUGAGAGCCCCGUACGGUUGGACGCCUAGCC
rnacentral:rRNA from 1 species